rnacentral:rRNA from 1 species
GAUCCGGUGGUUCUGAAUGGAAGGGCCAUCGCUCAACGGAUAAAAGGUACUCCGGGGAUAACAGGCUGAUACCGCCCAAGAGUUCAUAUCGACGGCGGGGUUUGGCACCUCGAUGUCGGCUCAUCACAUCCUGGGGCUGAAGUAGGUCCCAAGGGUAUGGCUGUUCGCCAUUUAAAGUGGUACGCGAGCUGGGUUUAGAACGUCGUGAGACAGUUCGGUCCCUAUCUGCCGUGGGCGCUGGAGAAUUGAGGGGGGCUGCUCCUAGUACGAGAGGACCGGAGUGGACGCAUCACUGGUGUUCGGGUUGUCAUGCCAAUGGCACUGCCCGGUAGCUAAAUGCGGAAGAGAUAAGUGCUGAAAGCAUCUAAGCACGAAACUUGCCCCGAGAUGAGUUCUCCCUGAGACUAUAAGUCUCCUGAAGGAACGUUAAAGACGAUGACGUUGAUAGGCCGGGUGUGUAAGCGCAGCGAUGCGUUGAGCUAACCGGUACUAAUGAACCGUGAGGCUUAACCUUACAACGCCGAAG